rnacentral:rRNA from 1 species
UACAGAGGUCCCCAAGCGUUGUUCGGAUUCAUUGGGCGUAAAGGGUGCGUAGGCGGCCGGGGUAAGUCAGGUGUGAAAUCCCGGAGCUCAACUCCGGAACUGCCACUGAUACUGCCUUGCUCGAGUACUGGAGAGGAGACUGGAAUUUACGGUGUAGCAGUGAAAUGCGGUAGAUAUCGUAAGGAAGACCAGUGGCGAAGGCGACGUCCCUGGACAACUCCCUGACACUGAGGCACGAAAGCUAGGGGAGCAAACAGG